GCGAUCAGUGGGAAAAGAGUCCCACGUGCAGAGGGUGCACUGAACCGUUCCCCGAAGGUGCUGGCCCAUCUCCACUGGCUGUGGAGACAGCCUGAAUGACCAGCUUAGAUUAAAAGCCUAAAUUUCAUGCAGCUACAGUCAGGGGAACCCACUCCCACCAUUUAGAGGCGUUUUCAAGCUCGUUGGACACUUUCAGCAAAAUCCAGCAGCAGGUUCACAGUCCCAGUGAGGUCAGUCACUGCACAUCUGGAGGCCCAGGAGAGUAACCACAGUCCUUCUCUCUGGCCUUUUAAACUCUGUUCCUAAACUGAGGCAGAAGAUAGGGAGGAAGCCUGUCCUCUGAGGGCCAUGGAUGCAUCAUUACCUGAGUCACUCCCAGUCCAAUUAGACAUCCAUGCAGCCACCGUAAGUGGGAAUUUGUCAUGACUUGACUGGAGACUUAAUAAUUUCUGUAAAGACUGCAAUUUUCACAUUGGAUUCCUCCCAUCCUUUCUGUCAAUUGAAGAUUUUCAUCAUAUUCUUCUCAUUUUCUUGCCUACUCCUUGCUGAACGUGAAUGUCUGUAUACUUACUCUUGUACCUGUCCACUUCCAGUGGAACCAGCAAAGUCUUCUUAACACAACGAGAUUUGGUCAUGCAUCUCUGUUGAGAAAGAGUCGCCUGCCACUU